AGUCGAGCGAACGGACGAGAAGCUUGCUUCUCUGAUGUUAGCGGCGGACGGGUGAGUAACACGUGGAUAACCUACCUAUAAGACUGGGAUAACCUCGGGAAACCGGAGCUAAUACCGGAUAAUAUUUUGAACCGCAUGGUUCAAAAGUGAAAGACGGUCUUGCUGUCACUUAUAGAUGGAUCCGCGCUGCAUUAGCUAGUUGGUAAGGUAACGGCUUACCAAGGCAACGAUGCAUAGCCGACCUGAGAGGGUGAUCGGCCACACUGGAACUGAGACACGGUCCAGACUCCUACGGGAGGCAGCAGUAGGGAAUCUUCCGCAAUGGGCGAAAGCCUGACGGAGCAACGCCGCGUGAGUGAUGAAGGUCUUCGGAUCGUAAAACUCUGUUAUUAGGGAAGAACAUAUGUGUAAGUAACUGUGCACAUCUUGACGGUACCUAAUCAGAAAGCCACGGCUAACUACGUGCCAGCAGCCGCGGUAAUACGUAGGUGGCAAGCGUUAUCCGGAAUUAUUGGGCGUAAAGCGCGCGUAGGCGGUUUUUUAAGUCUGAUGUGAAAGCCCACGGCUCAACCGUGGAGGGUCAUUGGAAACUGGAAAACUUGAGUGCAGAAGAGGAAAGUGGAAUUCCAUGUGUAGCGGUGAAAUGCGCAGAGAUAUGGAGGAACACCAGUGGCGAAGGCGACUUUCUGGUCUGUAACUGACGCUGAUGUGCGAAAGCGUG
rnacentral:rRNA from 1 species